GAACAGUGACAGUAAAAUCUCAUCUUGAAACAAUAUAAAGGACAGGGUGUAAAAGAAAUAUGACUUUAUGAUUUUUGUAAUAUUUACAUGCAUUCUAUACAUUUACAUCUUAAUGAGACUCAAUGGCUUUUACUCUGCAUAUCAAGAAAUGCAUGCAUUUAAAAUUGCUUGUAAAAUUUGAAUGAAUUAUGUUAGGGUUCAUACCUACAUGCAUUCAUUACCUUUAACCUUAUGAAGCAAAACAUUCUGUCUUCCAUGGUAAAGUUUCUUUCAUCUUUCCAAAUACUUGUUUAUGCACAUAUCUAAAGGGUUCUUUGCUUUUUUGUGAAACUAUAGUUUCAUAAAAUCUGGUUCCUUAAAAAAUCUAGAUAUUAAGUAAAAUUAUAUGAAAUUGGUCUCAUGUAUGAAGAAUAUAUGUAUGAUUUAUUUUUAUAUAGGAUCCUUUUUUAUUACUAGAUCAUUAGGAGCUAUGAAAUGACUAAAAUACAUGUUAACAGUCAAGGACUCAAACAAAAUCUCUUAUUGGUGUUUCUGUUUUUUUUGUGCAUUGUUGCUAAAAUACUAUUUUAACUUUUUUUUUAAAACAUCUGAUGUAUUCAGAUAUUACA
rnacentral:lncRNA from 1 species